ACCCCCUUUUCCUUUGGACCAGCAGUCCAGUUAGUUCCUCUCCUCACUCUGAUCCGCUGCUCUGAGAGCUCCAACUGAGGUGCAGGAACCAACUGUCAUGAAAGAGAAAGUGGUGCAUGCUCAGGAUGGCUGCCACCCGUGUUCUCCAUCUGGGAAGCGGGUCAUCCAGUGCUUCAGAUGUGGGGAGCAAUGCAAAGGAGAGGUGCUGCGGGUCCAGAGCAAUCACUUCCACGUAAAGUGUUUUAGCUGCAAGGUGUGUGGCUGUGACUUGGCUCAAAGCGGCUUCUUCGUGAGGAACAGUGACUACCUCUGUCCGCUGGACUUCCAGAGGCUUCACGGCACACUCUGCAGCAAUUGUGGGGAAUUUGUGGAGGGAGAGGUGGUCACAGUCCUGGGGAAGACCUAUCACCCGGCAUGCUUUGUUUGCACUAUUUGCAAGAGGCCCUUCCCUGCUGGCGACUGUGUCACCUUCAGUGGGAAAGACUGUAUCUGUCAGCGCUGCAUGCAACCUGUGUCUCCUACUCCUACAGACAUUAAUUAUACCAGCAACUGCACAGGCUGUGGUAGAGACAUUAAGAAUGGCCAGGCUCUUUUGGCCUUGGGUGGACGGUGGCACCUUGGCUGUUUCAAGUGCAAAGCCUGCAGGAAAGUGCUGAGUGGAGAAUACAUCAGCAAAGAUGGUAUUCCCUACUGUGAGAGAGACUACCAGAUUCAGUUUGGGGUACAGUGUGAAGCAUGCCACAAGUUUAUAACAGGAAAAGUCCUUGAGGCAGGGGACAAACAUUAUCAUCCAGGCUGUGCAAGAUGCAGCCGAUGUGACAAAAUGUUCACAGAAGGACAAGAAAUGUAUCUGCACGGAUCUACAGUCUGGCACCCAGACUGCAGAGACAACAGCAGAACUGAGGACAUUUACAGGGUCAGCAAACCAAAAACACCCUGUCUUGAUUUCUUUUUCCCUCCACGUGAACUGAAGCCCACUAGAUCUUCAUCUGAAAGCUCCUCUUCCAGGCCGGGUUCAUGCACUCCAGGAAGUCCUGGUCGAACUAUCUGUGCAAAAGUAGAUAAUGAGAUCAUCGAUUACCGCGACUUAGCAGCAAUUCCCAGAGUCAAGGCUAUAUAUGAUAUAGAGCAUCCUGAUAUGAUAUCCUAUAAGUCUGUGAGCGACAGCCCCUCUGCUUUGGACAACAGAGGCAACAGACAGGACAGGCAAAACCCUGCAGAGUCAACAGGGAAUGUAUCUGAAAGCACGGAGGAGAGCUUUGAAAUGAGGAAGUGCAUACCAAAAUCCACAAGCCACGGAUCUUUUCAUGCAGGGUACAAUCGCCACAGCUACACUCCAACUCUGUCCAAAUCACCGCAACACUUCCACAGACCAGCAGGAUUGAUGCUUUCUCCCUCUUUAUUCUCUGGCAACAAUGACACCUGCUCCGCUUGCCCCUCUAGUCACCACUUUCUCCCUCACACCACAGAUGAGGGUUUCCACAUGUACAGGAGGCCUCCAAUUUAUAAACAGCAAGAUCCAAAUUCCUCCACAUCCCAAACAUACUCUUUGCCUCGAUACGGUCGCAAUGGCCUCCAUCCGCCACAGUCAGCUGAUUUCUCCCACUUGAACGGUGACAGAUUCAGAGCUCAUCCAUGAUGGUCAGCAUCCAUUAGCACGAAUGGAGAGAGGAAUGUCUAUGCCUAAUUUGUUGGAACCAAAAGUCUACCCAUAUGAGGUGCUUGCAGUUAGUAACAGAGGGCGAGGGAAGCUUCCAAAGGAUGUUGACAGAACAAGACUUGAGCGCCACCUUUCCCCAGAUUCAUUCUUUGAGGUCUUUAGCAUGGAUAUCCAAGAAUUUGACAAACUUCCACUCUGGAAACGUAACGACAUGAAGAAGAAGGCAAAUCUCUUCUAAAUGCAACCUAUUUUAAUUCAAUGUUAAUAUGCAGUACAUGUCAACUUCUGAUUAACCUUUAUGUUUAUUUCUUUGCAUUUGGCACAAAUGUUAGAAAACUGAACAGCACAAAUCACAACUUUACAGGGCCACAGUUAGUCUCUCUAGGCUACUGAAAUGAAUAACAGUUAAAGCUAUAAUACCUCAAAGCAGAUAUGAACACGUGAACUCAACUUAGUUAUAGUCUUGGCUUCGGUAAGAGCCAGUAUUUUACUUUCCUAUGUCAGACCUAGUCUUCCCAGGAAUUAUGUUCAUAUUGGACGAUUCAGCUGAAUGUAAUUUAUGCCCAUUCAUCAUAAAUGGAGCACACAGUGUGGUGUUUUUGUAGCUUGGCGAUGAGUAAGGGCAAAAAGUAAAGUGUUUGUCUUUGAUGCUUUGCAUCCUGUUUGAGACUGACAGCUGAAGUCUUUCCUUGUCAUAGCUAACCAAGUUAUCUUUGUUGCCUAACUAAAAAUGCACUGUUAGUGUAUUUUCACUGGACUGAUGAGGGCGCCAGAUCACUAAAAUGCUCACACACCAUGUUGCUAAGAGAAGAUUUGUGCUGAACCUUGGAUUAAGUUUAAUGACAAAGUUUCUGAUGACAAAUAAUGUUUUAAUUAUUCCUGAAAUAUCUGCAAAGAUGAUGGAUGAGAUAUGGUUAAGGUUAGGCCCCCAAAACAUUUGCAGCACAAACAAACUGUAACUGAAACAACAUUUUCAUUGGUUUGUCUUUGCUUCUCCACUUGCCUUCUAAAAACUAGAGAUUUACUGAUGUUAGAACACAGGUUUUGAGAGUGUUUAAAGUCAGUCACAUUUGUGUCUAAAAUGUUUUAAAGCUGGUUAACCUGAAGCCUUUGUCGAUCAAUAGUGCGACCCCUUUAUGAAUAGUGCUUCCAAUGAUUCAUAGUGUAGUGACUGAGUACAUGAAAUGGACAUAACCUGUCAUCAACAUGUAAUUCUGAUAAAAGAUAGUGAAUUAAUCCCCCUUGCAUUUCACUCAUGUUUCAUUAUUGUGUUAUGUGAUAUUAUAUUUUUGUUACUCAGUUAAUUCUUAUUUUGUUGUCUCCUGGUUACACAAACAUCAUGUUAAAGCACUAAACUGGUUAAAGAAAAUAUGUGAGAUCUGUAUUUCUGAGUCAAUAUAUUAUCACUGGAAUGUGCUUUAUUGGACUGUUAAAUGAAUAAUUAAGAUUAUUAUUUUUAUUUUAUGUUUCACCCUUGGUUAAGCUUGGCUGUGGUAAACUGUGUAUAUUACCUUGACAUUACUGUUUGAGCACACCGCCACCUCAAAUGAAAUAAAACCUUGCACUUCUUACAA